AUAGUUACAUGAUAGGACAGAUGACAUGAUCCCAAAGGCAGUUUUAACUGGAAGAGGUUUAUCCAUUUCACUCUGGAUGUGUUGACCCUGAGAUUUCCCCCAAAGUAGGAAACUCAACUUCAUAAUUCCUGGUAAUAAGGACUGUGCCCAUGCUCUCCCCA